UGACUUCCGGUUCCUAGGGGUGCGCAUCCGGGUCACUCUAACGCCGCGGUUUCCUCCACCCGCUUGGUUCUACUGUCGGUCUGGACCGGUCCCCAUGUCCUGCUGUGGACCCUCUGCAGCCUUUGGACUGUGAAGACUGCUGAGAGACACUCGCGAUUCAGACACAUAAGCCUGAUAAAGAAAUAAUUAGUCCUCAUGGAAGAAGAACAAGAUUUACCAGAGCAACCAGU